CAGUCGCCGCGGGAAUACGAAGGGGGCUAGCGUUGCUCGGAAUCACUGGGCGUAAAGGGUGCGUAGGCGGGUCUUUAAGUCAGGGGUGAAAUCCUGGAGCUCAACUCCAGAACUGCCUUUGAUACUGAAGAUCUUGAGUUCGGGAGAGGUGAGUGGAACUGCGAGUGUAGAGGUGAAAUUCGUAGAUAUUCGCAAGAACACCAGUGGCGAAGGCGGCUCACUGGCCCGAUACUGACGCUGAGGCACGAAAGCGUGGGGAGCAAACAGGAUUAGAUACCCGUGUAGUCCCUGUCUCUUAUAA
rnacentral:rRNA from 1 species